UGACGAGUUUGAUCCUGGCUCAGAUUGAACGCUGGCGGAAUGCUUUACACAUGCAAGUCGAACGGCAGCACGAGAGCUUGCUCUUGGUGGCGAGUGGCGAACGGGUGAGUAAUAUAUCGGAACGUAUCCAAUAACUGGGGGAUAACUAAUCGAAAGGUUAGCUAAUACCGCAUGCGCCCUACGGGGGAAAGCAGGGGAUCUUCGGACCUUGCGUUAAUGGAGCGGCUGAUAUCUGAUUAGCUAGUUGGUGAGGU
rnacentral:rRNA from 1 species